AGAGUUUGAUCAUGGCUCAGAACGAACGCUGGCGGCGUGCUUAACACAUGCAAGUCGAGUGCGCGUGCCGUAGCAAUACGGUAUGGCGCACGGCGCACGGGUGCGUAACACGUGGGCAAUCUGCCCUCCGGUGGGGAAUAACCCCGCGAAAGCGGGGCUAAUUCCGCAUAACAUUCCCUGGACUCUGGUUCGGGGAUUCAAAGCAGCAAUGCGCCGGAGGAGGAGCCCGCGCCCGAUUAGCUAGUUGGUGAGGUGACGGCUCACCAAGGCAAUGAUCGGUAGCUGGUCUGAGAGGAUGGCCAGCCACACUGGAACUGAGACACGGUCCAGGCUCCUACGGGAGGCAGCAGUGGGGAAUCUUGCGCAAUGGGCGAAAGCCUGACGCAGCGACGCCGCGUGGGGGAUGAAGCUUCUCGGAGUGUAAACCCCUUUCGACCGGGACGAAUGCCCGCAAGGGAGUGACGGUACCGGUAGAAGAAGCCCCGGCUAACUACGUGCCAGCAGCCGCGGUAAGACGUAGGGGGCCAGCGUUGUUCGGAAUUACUGGGUGUAAAGGGUUCGUAGGCGGUGUGGCAAGUCGGGAGUGAAAUUUCUGGGCUUAACUCAGAAGCUGCUUCCGAAACUGCUGUGCUAGAGUGCGGGAGAGGCGCGUGGAAUUGCAGGUGUAGCGGUGAAAUGCGUAGAUAUCUGCAGGAACACCCGUGGCGAAAGCGGCGCGCUGGACCGUUACUGACGCUGAGGAACGAAAGCUAGGGGAGCAAACAGGAUUAGAUACCCUGGUAGUCCUAGCCCUAAACGAUCAGGACUUGGGGUGCCUUCCGUUCGGAAGUCGUCCCGGAGCUAACGCGUUAAGUCCUGCACCUGGGGAGUACGGUCGCAAGACUGAAACUCAAAGGAAUUGACGGGGGCCCGCACAAGCGGUGGAACAUGUGGUUCAAUUCGACGCUACGCGAGGAACCUUACCUGGGCUCGAAAUGCUUCUGACCAGCUGUAGAAAUACGG
rnacentral:rRNA from 1 species